AUGUUUAUCUCAUAACUCUCAGAAUAUUGUACGAUUUCUCUAGGCUACUCGUUCUAGGGCUUCGUUUGUGAGGGCUUUGCGGUCGAAAGUGGAACAUAAAUCAAGUUUUUGGUAGUGAAAUCUGAAAAAUCAAGGUAUGCUAUUAAUCAAUGUUAUAAUUUUUUAUUGUGGAGUUAGGGUUUGUUAGCCCUUUUCUGUUUAAAGAAAUAUUUUCUUUUUGGUGUUGCUGUAAGAGGAAAUGAUUUAAAUCUUGGUUUUAUACCUAAAGUUUAGUUUUUUUAUGUCUUUAUUGGUAUAUUUUAUGGUCCCGAUAGCAAGUUUCUUGUCUUUUAGUUGUUGUUGUGUAGUUAUUGAUGUGGUCCAUCUUUUGUCCCUUUUUUCUGUUCCUUUGCAUGUGAAAGCUAUUGAAGAUGAUUGAGAAAGUUGACCUGAUUUUUCACUAUGGGGUAAUUGGGUAAUUCACCUGAACUUCUACGUAUAUAAUUAGAAUUUGUUGCAUGUUUUGUUUGGUUAUGAAUCUGGUGAUGUUCGAUUUACUAUUGUUUGUGAUGAGUUUACAAAGAACUUAGGGUUUACAAAAAUCAAACAACUUUUAGUAACUGGACCUUCUGGAAGAUAUUACUUGGUAACAAAUAAUGAUGGUAUGAGGAUCUUGCAGAGUUUAGAGUUAUAAAUUUCUUUGCUGUAGAUGAUUUAGAUUUGAGGAUUUUUGCUCAAAAUAUCAAAUACCACACUGAAACAUACAUUGUAAAUGUCGAUGUAGCUUCUAACCAAGAAAGUAACAUAAGUGAUUGUGAGUCUAAUGAUUCAAUUUCAUCUGAUUAUAAUUCUGAAGUACUUGAGACUUUUGGGCCAAGAAAGAAGGAAGGAUAUGAGCUAUAAAUUGGAGAACUAUAAGGAAUUAUAGAAGGGUCAAACAUUUAAGGAUAUAACUGAGGUCAGAAAUGUGAUAAACUUCUAUGUAAUAGCUAAUCGUAAAGGCUUGAUGGUAAAAAAAGGUGAUACUACUAGGGCCAGAUAUAAGUGCCAAGAUGAAUGCCACUUUAUCUGUUUCAUAUCAAAAGAUGGCAGGAGUGGCACCUUUAGAAUCAAAACCUUAAAUUCUAAUCACACUUGUGGCUCUGUGUUUAAAACCCUAAUGGCAGGUGCCAAAAUAUUAGCACAUAUAUUUAAGAGUAGGGUUCAAUAUAAUCCUCAAUACAAGGUAAAAGAUAUGAGAGGGGAGUUGGAGACUAGUUAUAACCUAAAUGUGUCUAAGACCAUGGUGAAAAGAGCUAAGAGGUUUGCUCUUGAGAAGCUUGAAGAUAGUUUCUUUGAUGACUACAAGAAACUUGAAGCAUAUGGCAUUGAAAUUAGAAAUUCUAAUCCGGGAAGUGAUGUAGAUAUCAACAUAUCAAAUGAUGCUCUUGAACAAGGCAAAAGGAAGUUCUUGAGGAUGUGCAUUUUUUCAAAAGCAAUAAAGGAUGGCUGAAAAAGUGGUUUGAGACCACUAAUUGGUUUAGAUUGUACUUUUCAGAAGAGAAGAUAUAAAAGCAGUUGUUAGUAGCUAUAGGGAAAGACUCUAUGAAUUUUUCCCCAUAGCAUGGGAAAUGGUAGACAAAGAAACAAGCAGAACUUGGAGUUGGUUUUUGGAGCUUUUGAAGCAUUCCUUGGAUCUUAAAGAUGGAGAUGGAGGGACAUUCAUUUCUGACAUGGAAAAAGGAUUAAUUGAUGCCAAGAACGAUGUGGUUCCUGAAGCUAGGAACAGAUUUUGUGCAAGACAUAUUGAAGUAAAUUGGUAUAAAAAAUGGAAGAGUAGACAGGUAAACAAGCUUAUAUUGUGGUGUGCAUGGGCCACAAUCCACAUAUGAAGAAGACUUCAAGGAUAAAUUGAGAAAAUUGGGUGAUAAUAAUGAAGAAGCUGCUAAAGACUUGCUGAAAUAUUCACCUCAAACUUGGUGUAAAGCUUAUUUUGACACUUAGUAAAUGUCAUGGUUGACAAUAAUUUCACCGAAUCAUUUAAUGCAUGAAUUUUGGAGGCAAGAUGGAGGAGAUAAGGUUGAAGGUUAUGAAGAUGUUGGUUGAUAAUGAAGCCAAAGCUAGGAGUUGGAAUGGACAAUUCAAUCCAACUUGAAUAAAGCUAUACAAUUCUUACAGAGAAAUAGCUCAUGGUUGCCAUAUACACUUCAAUGGUGAAUUUGGCUAUGAAAUCAGUGAGGGAGAUGAUAGACACACAUUUAAUCUUAAGACAAAAGAUGCACCUGUAGGUUUUGGGACUUAUCUAGGAUCCCAUGCCCCCAUGCUAUCAAGGCUUUGCAGUAUGAUAAGGUUGAUCCAGUAACACAAAUACAAGGAUACCAUAGUAAAGAGGCAUGCCUGAUGACCUACAAGAGCAAAAUACAGUCUGUUAGGGAGGUUAAAUUCUGGAAGAUCAAUCCUGCACAAGCUAUGGAGCCACCAGAAGUUAUGAAAACUAUAGGCAUACCCAAAGUUAAGAGGAAUUGAGUACCAGAUGAAGCAGGAAAAAAGAAGGGUGAAUGGAGUGUUUAUAGGAAGGGAGCUAUCAUGCACUACAGAAAAUAUGGUGAAGCUGACCAUAAUGCAAGGGCUUGUUAUAAUGACACUACUCAUAGAGAAGGUUCAAGCUCGAGGUAAAGGAAAAGUUAUGGACAAACAUUAACUUCAACUGUACUAGUUUCAGGUGGCACACAUGAAAAAGAAGAAGAAGAAGCAGAAUUUCAAACUGAAGUUGGGACACAAUCGUCAGUUUAUCCAGCUGAAUCUGGAACACAACAAUUAGUUUAUUCAACUCAAGCUGUAACACAACAAUCGCAGCCUUAUGGUCCUGAAGUUGGUACUGACGAAGACCCACCACUUAGGCCAAAGAUUAUUUCUGAGACAAUGGCAAGACUGAAAGAGAAAAUGACAAAGGCAAAGCCACCAACUAGGUCAAUAAGAAUUGCAUUUACUGAAGAUACUAAUGGGGUGGCAAUAUCAUCGGACUUGCUUUAUUCACCAACUAAGACUACUUGGAAAGGUAAGGCAGCAAUGACACUCAAACAACUAUAGGAUGAAGGAAGAAAGAAGAACUUUAAGAUGAUAGACAUAAAUGGAAAAAGGAGUGCCAACUGAUGAAUAAAUUAAUGAGGAGGGAUUUGAAGAUUAGUUUAUGCAAUGGACAUAAAGGGAGGCUAUUGAUUUUAAUUUAUUUCUGAGCUUGCCCCCCCUCCCCCCUCAUGUGCUGUUAUGAAGUUGAGACUACUAUUGCUUAGCAAUUGCUUCUGUAAUCAGCUCACAACUUAUGAAACAGUUGUUGAUCUAAGAUUCCAGAUACCAAAUAACACUACUCUAUAUCGCUGUUCAAUGUC